rnacentral:lncRNA from 1 species
UACCUUCUGCAUUUGUUGCGGACCUGUCCUGCUCCAAUUUGCGCUGAAAGUAAUAGUCCUCAAGCUGACGAGCAGCAACCUGAAACAGAUCAAAAUUAUCCUUCACACCAUCCUUCCGAAGUAGGUUCUCGGCAAGGUGCCGAGUACACCAACGAUGAUGCAAAGCUGGAUACCCCUCUAUCUGCUCUUGCACAGCAUGAAGUAUGCCCUGGUGCCUAUCAGAUAUGACGCCAACCUCCCUGCC